CAAUGUGCUGGGCGCGAUUGACUGUACCCACGUGCAGAUCAGACCGCCACGGAAUUCAGAGGAAUGUUUUCGGAACCGAAAACAGUUCCAUUCCCUGAACGUGCAGGCGGUCUGUGAUGUAAACAUGAGAUUUUUGAACAUUUUUGUGGGAUUUCCUGGAUCAUCUCACGACUCCUUCAUCCUAAGCCAGUCAUCGCUGUUUGACAAGUUUGAAACAGGAAACAUGCCUGGUGGCUGGCUGUUAGGCGAUGCGGGUUAUCCAAACAAACCGUGGCUGUUGACCCCAUUGUCUAAUCCUGUUGGUAGAGCAGAAAAACGUUACCAAGAGACACACCUUGCAUCGAGGGGAGUAAUUGAGCGUGCCUUCGGUGUACUUAAAAGCCGGUUUCGAUGUUUAGACACUUCCGGCGGUGCUCUUUUGUACUCACCGUCGAAGGUUUGCGGCAUGGUAAAUGCAUGUUGUAUUUUACACAACAUAUGUGUCGCAAACCGUUUGCCGGUGACUCUUCGUCGCAGUGCUUUCCGACGCGGGAACCGGUCUUCUGCUCUACCGGUGGGUAUGGACGAAGGAGAGGAUUCCCGGCGGACAUUGAUCCAAAAUUAUUUUGCAGUUGCCUAGUUUUACAUCCUGUUGAUGUAUAUCCCCAGGCCAUGUUUGUACAGUUCGUUACCCCGUUUUAUCCUGUUGUUGGGUUACCGCAAAUAUUUGAUCCUUUUAUCCAACUCUACCAUGGGUGACCCUACUGGUGAUGUGGACCUGACCCUCUGCCAUGUAGCAGACAACCCCCCCUCAGGUGAGAUGUA